UACGAAGGGGGCUAGCGUUGUUCGGAAUUACUGGGCGUAAAGCGCACGUAGGCGGCAUGUUAAGUCAGGGGUGAAAUCCCGGGGCUCAACCCCGGAACUGCCUUUGGUACUGGCAUUCUCGAGUCCGGAAGAGGUGAGUGGAAUUCCGAGUGUGGAGGUGAAAUUCGUAGAUAUUCGGAGGAACACCAGUGGCGAAGGCGGCUCACUGGUCCGGUACUGACGCUGAGGUGCGAAAGCGUGGGGAGCAAACAGG
rnacentral:rRNA from 1 species